rnacentral:rRNA from 1 species
AUUGAACGCUGGCGGCAUGCCUUACACAUGCAAGUCGAACGGCAACACGGGUGCUUGCACCUGGUGGCGAGUGGCGAACGGGUGAGUAAUAUAUCGGAACGUACCUUAUUGUGGGGGAUAACGCAGCGAAAGCUGUGCUAAUACCGCAUAAUCCCUAAGGGGGAAAGCGGGGGACCGUAAGGCCUCGCGCAAUUAGAGCGGCCGAUACCUGAUUAGCUAGUUGGUGAGGUAAAGGCUCACCAAGGCAACGAUCAGUAGCUGGUCUGAGAGGACGAUCAGCCACACUGGGACUGAGACACGGCCCAGACUCCUACGGGAGGCAGCAGUGGGGAAUUUUGGACAAUGGGGGCAACCCUGAUCCAGCAAUGCCGCGUGAGUGAAGAAGGCCUUCGGGUUGUAAAGCUCUUUUGUCAGGGAAGAAACAGCAGCUCUAACACAGUAUGCGAAUGACGGUACCUGAAGAAUAAGCACCGGCUAACUACGUGCCAGCCGCCGCGGUAAUAC